GUGGUGCCAAAACCCCCCAGCGGAAAAAUGGCCAAAAAACGGGUGGGCUAUAGCCUUGGUGGGGGGCGCGGGCGAAGUUCGUCCGCCGGACUCGGAAUGUGGCGAGACUUUGCGAGGGGCCUCGGGGUGCCAAAAAUAAGCCGCGGGCAAAGCCGAGCCCAAAAAUAAGCGCCCGAAGGUCGUGGUGCCAAAACCCCCCAGCGGAAAAAUGGCCAAAAAACAGGUGGGCUAUAGCCUUGGUGGGGGGCGCGGGCGAAGUUCGUCCGCCGGACUCGGAAUGGGGCGAGACUUUGCGAGGGGCCUCGGGGUGCCCAAAAUAAGCCGCGGGCAAAGCCGCGCCCAAAAAUAAGCGCCCAAAGGUCGUGGUGCCAAAACCCCCCAGCGGAAAAAUGGCCAAAAAACGGGUGGGCUAUAGCCUUGGUGGGGGGCGCGGGCGAAGUUCGUCCGCCGGACUCGGAAUCGGGCGAGACUUUGUGAGGAGCCUCGGGGUGCCCGCGGGAAGUCGCGGGCACAGCCGCGUCCAGAAAUAAGCGCCCGAAGGUCGUGGUGCCAAAACCCCCAGCGGAAAAAUGGCCAAAAAACGGGUGGGCUACAGCCUUGGUGGGGGGCGCGGGCGAACUUCGUCCGCCGGACUCGGAAUGGGGCGAGACUUUGCGAGGGGCCUCGGGGUGGCAAAAAUAAGCCGCGGGCAAAGCCGCGCCCAAAAAUAAGCGCCCAAAGGUCGUGGUGCCAAAACCCCCCAGCGGAAAAAUGGCCAAAAAACGGGUGGGCUAUAGCCUUGGUGGGGGGCGCGGGCGAAGUUCGUCCACCGGACUCGGAAUGGGGCGAGACUUUUCGAGGGGCCUGGGAGCAUCAAAAAUAAGCCGCGGGCAAAGCCGCACCCAAAAAUAAGCGCCCGAAGGUCGUGGUGCCAAAACUCCCAGCGGAAAAAUGGGCCAAAAACGGGUGUGGCUAUGGCCUUGGUGGGGGGCGCGGGCGAAGUUUGUCCGCCGGACUUGGAAUGGGGCGAGACUUUGCGAGGGGCCUCGGGGUGCCAAAAAUAAGCCGCGGGCAAAGCCGCGCCCAAAAAUAAGCGCCCAAAGGUCGUGGUGCCAAAACCCCCCAGCGGAAAAAUGGCCAAAACACGGGUGGGCUAUAGCCUUGGUGGGGGGCGCGGGCGAAGUUCGUCCGCCGGACUCGGAAUGGGGCGAGACUUUGCGAGGGGCCUUGGGGUGCCCGCGGGAAGUCGCGGGCACAGCCGCGUCCAAAAAGAAGCGCCCGAAGGUCGUGGUGCCAAAACCCCCCAGCGGAAAAAUGGCCAAAAAACGGGCGGGCUAUAGCCUUGGUGGGGGGCGCGGGCGAAGUUCGUCCGCCGGACUCGGAAUGGGGCGAGACUUUGCGAGGGGCCUCGGGGUACCAAAAAUAAGCCGCGGGCAAAGCCGCGCCCAAAAAUAAGCGCCCGAAGGUCGUGGUGCCAAAACCCCCCAGCGGAAAAAUGGCCAAAAAACGGGUGGGCUAUAGCCUUGGUGGGGGCCGCGGGCGAAGUUCGUCCGCCGGACUCGGAAUGGGGCGAGACUUUUCGAGGGGCCUCGGGGUACCAAAAAUAAGCCGCGGGCAAAGCCGCGCCCAAAAAUAAGCGCCCGAAGGUCAUGGUGCCAAAACCCCCCAGCGGAAAAAUGGCCAAAAAACGGGUGGGCUAUAGCCUUGGUGGGGGGCGCGGGCGAAGUUCGUCCGCCGGACUCAGAAUGGGGCGAGACUUUGCGAGGGGCCUCGGGGUANNNNNNNNNNNNNNNNNNNNNNNNNNNNNNNNNNNNNNNNNNNNNNNNNNNNNNNNNNNNNNNNNNNNNNNNNNNNNNNNNNNNNNNNNNNNNNNNNNNNNNNNNNNNNNNNNNNNNNNNNNNNNNNNNNNNNNNNNNNNNNNNNNNNNNNNNNNNNNNNNNNNNNNNNNNNNNNNNNNNNNNNNNNNNNNNNNNNNNNNNNNNNNNNNNNNNNNNNNNNNNNNNNNNNNNNNNNNNNNNNNNNNNNNNNCAGCGGAAAAAUGGCCAAAAAACGGGUGGGCUAUAGCCUUGGUGGGGGGCGCGGGCGAAGUUCGUCCGCUGGACUCGGAAUGGGGCGAGACUUUGCGAGGGGCCUAGGGGUGCCAGAAAUAAUCCGCGGGCAAAGCCGCGCCCAAAAAUAAGCGCCCGAAGGUCGUGGUGCCAAAACCCCCCAGCGGAAAAAUGGCCAAAAAACGGGUGGGCUAUAGCCUUGGUGGGGGGCGUGGGCGAAGUUCGUCCGCCGGACUCGGAAUGGGGCGAGACUUUGCGAGGGGCGUCGGGGUGCCCCCAGGAAGUCGCGGGCACAGCCGCGUCCAAAAAUAAGCGCCCGAAGGUCGUGGUGCCAAAACCCCCCAGCGGAAAAAUGGCCAAAAAACGGGUGGGCUAUAGCCUUGGUGGGGGGCGCGGGCGAAGUUCGUCCGCCGGACUCGGAAUGGGGCGAGACUUUGCGAGGGGCCUCGGGGUGCCAAAAAUAAGCCGCGGGCAAAGCCGCGCCCAAAAAUAAGCGCCCGAAGGUCGUGGUGCGAAAACCCCCCAGCGGAAAAAUGGCCAAAAAACGGGUGGGCUAUAGCCUUGGUGGGGGGCGCGGGCGAAGUUCGUCCGCCGGACUCGGAAUGGGGCGAGACUUUGCGAGGGGCCUCGGGGCGCCAAAAAUAAGCCGCGGGCAAAGCCGCGCCCAAAAAUAAGCGCCCGAAGGUCGUGGUGCCAAAACCCCCCAGCGGAAAAAUGGCCAAAAAACGGGUGGGCUAUAGCCUUGGUGGGGGGCGUGGGCGAAGUUCGUCCGCCGGACUCGGAAUGGGGCGAGACUUUGCGAGGGGCGUCGGGGUGCCCCCAGGAAGUCGCGGGCACAGCCGCGUCCAAAAAUAAGCGCCCGAAGGUCGUGGUGCCAAAACCCCCCAGCGGAAAAAUGGCCAAAAAACGGGUGGGCUAUAGCCUUGGUGGGGGGCGCGGGCGAAGUUCGUCCGCCGGACUCGGAAUGGGGCGAGACUUUGCGAGGGGACUCGGGGUGCACGCGGGAAGUUGCGGGCACAGCCGCGUCCAAAAAUAAGCGCCCGAAGGUCGUGGUGCCAAAACCCCCCAGCGGAAAAAUGGCCAAAAAACGGGUGGGCUAUAGCCUUGGUGGGGGGCGCGGGCGAAGUUCGUCCGCCGGACUCGGAAUGGGGCGAGACUUUGCGAGGGGCCUCGGGGUGCCAAAAAUAAGCCGCGGGCAAAGCCGCGCCCAAAAAUAAGCGCCCGAAGGUCGUGGUGCGAAAACCCCCCAGCGGAAAAAUGGCCAAAAAACGGGUGGGCUAUAGCCUUGGUGGGGGGCGCGGGCGAAGUUCGUCCGCCGGACUCGGAAUGGGGCGAGACUUUGCGAGGGGCCUCGGGGUGCCCGCGGGAAGUCGCGGGCACAGCCGCGUCCAAAAAUAAGCGCCCGAAGGUCGUGGUGCCAAAACCCCCAGCGGAAAAAUGGCCAAAAAACGGUUGGCUAUAGCCUUGGUGGGGGGCGCGGGCGAAGUUCGUCCGCCAGACUCGGAAUGGGGCGAGACUUUGCGAGGGGCCUCGGGGUGCCAAAAAUAAGGCGCGGGCAAAGCCGCGCCCAAAAAUAAGCGCCCAAAGGUCGUGUUGCCAAAACCCCCCAGCGGAAAAAUGGCCAAAAAACGGGUGGGCUAUAGCCUUGGUGGUGGGCGCGGGCGAAGUUCGUCCGCCGGACUCGGAAUGGGGCGAGACUUUGCGAGGGGCCUCGGGGUGCCCGCGGGAAGUCGCGGGGCUACCGUAACAAGUUUCCUAAAUGUAGAACUGGUGGUGCCAAACCCCCCAGCGGAAAAAUGGCCAAAAAACGGGUGGGCUAUAGCCUUGGUGGGGGGCCGCGGGCGAAGUUCGUCCGCCGGACUCGGAGUGGGGCGAGACUUUGCGAGGGGCCUCGGGGUGCCCGCGGGAAGUCGCGGGCACAGCCGCGUCCAAAAAUAAGCGCCCGAAGGUCGUGGUGCCAAAACCCCCAGCGGAAAAAUGGCCAAAAAACGGUUGGCUAUAGCCUUGGUGGGGGGCGCGGGCGAAGUUCGUCCGCCAGACUCGGAAUGGGGCGAGACUUUGCGAGGGUCCUUGGGGUGCCAAAAAUAAGCCGCGGGCAAAGCCGCGCCCAAAAAUAAGUGCCCGAAGGUCGUGGUGCCAAAACCCCCCAGCGGAAAAAUGGCCAAAAAACGGGUGGGCUAUAGCCUUGGUGGGGGGCGCGGGCGAAGUUUGUCCGCCGGACUCGAAAUGGGGCGAGACUUUGCGAGGGGCCUCGGGGCACCAAAAAUAAGGCGCGGGCAAAGCCGCGCCCAAAAAUAAGCGCCCGAAGGUCGUGAUGCCAAAACCCCCCAGCAGAAAAAUGGCCAAAAAACGGGUGGGCUAUAGCCUUGGUGGGGGGCGCGGGCGUAGUUCGUCCGCCGGACUCGGAAUGGGGCGAGACUUUGCGCGGAGCCUCGGGUCGCCAAAAAUAAGCCGCGGGCAAAGCUGCGCCCAAAAAUAAGCGCCCGAAGGUCGUGGUGCCAAAACCCCCCAGCGCAAAAAUGUCCAAAAAACGGGUGGGCUAUAGCCUUGGUGGGGGGCGCGGGCGAAGUUCGUCCGCCGGACUCGGAAUGGGGCGAGACUUUGCGCGGAGCCUCGGGGCGCCAAAAAUAAGCCGCGGGCAAAGCCGCGCCCAAAAAUAAGCGUCCGAAGGUCGUGGUGCCAAAACCCCCCAGCGGAAAAAUGGCCAAAAAACGGGUGGGCUAUAGCCUUGGUGGGGGGCGCGGGCGAAGUUCGUCCGCCGGACUCGGAAUGGGGCGAGACUUUGCGAGGGGCCUCGGGGUGCCCCCAGGAAGUCGCGGGCACAGCCGCGUCCAAAAAUAAGCGCCCGAAGGUCGUGGUGCCAAAACCCCCCAGCGGAAAAAUGGCCAAAAAACGGGUGGGCUAUAGCCUUGGUGGGGGGCGCGGGCGAAGUUCGUCCGCUGGACUCGGAAUGGGGCGAGACUUUGCGAGGGGCCUCGGGGUGCCAAAACUAAGCCGCGGGCAAAGCCGCGCCCAAAAAUAAGCGCCCGAUGGUCCUGGUGCCAAAACCCCCCAGCGGAAAAAUGGCCAAAAAACGGGUGGGCUAUAGCCUUGGUGGGGGGCGCGGGUGAAGUUCGUCUGCUGGACUCGGAAUGGGACGAGACUUUGCGAGGGGCCUCGGGGUGCCCGCGGGAAGUCGCGGGCACAGCCACAUCCAGAAAUAAGCGCCCGAAGGUCGUGGUGCCAAAACCCCCCAGCGGAAAAAUGGCCAAAAAACGGGUGGGCUAUAGCCUUGGUGGGGGGCGCGGGCGAAGUUCGUCCGCCGGACUCGGAAUGGGGCGAGACUUUGCGAGGGGACUCGGGGUGCACGCGGGAAGUUGCGGGCACAGCCGCGUCCAAAAAUAAGCGCCCGAAGGUCGUGGUGCCAAAACCCCCCAGCGGAAAAAUGGCCAAAAAACGGGUGGGCUAUAGCCUUGGUGGGGGGCGCGGGCGAAGUUCGUCCGCCGGACUUGGAAUGGGGCGAGACUUUGCGAGGGGCCUCGGGGUGCCAAAAAUAAGCCGCGGGCAAAGCCGCGCCCAAAAAUAAGCGCCCGAAGGUCGUGGUGCGAAAACCCCCCAGCGGAAAAAUGGCCAAAAAACGGGUGGGCUAUAGCCUUGGUGGGGGGCGCGGGCGAAGUUCGUCCGCCGGACUCGGAAUGGGGCGGGACUUUGCGAGGGGCCUCGGGGUGCCAAAAAUAAGCCGCGGGCAAAGCCGCGCCCGAAGGUCGUGGUGCGAAAACCCCCCAGCGGAAAAAUGGCCAAAAAACGGGUGGGCUAUAGCCUUGGUGGGGGGCGCGGGCGAAGUUCGUCCGCCGGACUCGGAAUGGGGCGAGACUUUGCGAGGGGACUCGGGGUGCCCGCGGGAAGUUGCGGGCACAGCCGCGUCCAAAAAUAAGCGCCCGAAGGUCGUGGUGCCAAAACCCCCCAGCGGAAAAAUGGCCAAAAAACGGGUGGGCUAUAGCCUUGGUGGGGGGCGCGGGCGAAGUUCGUCCGCCGGACUCGGAAUGGGGCGAGACUUUGCGAGGGGCCUCGGGGUGCCCCCAGGAAGUCGCGGGCACAGCCGCGUCCAAAAAUAAGCGCCCGAAGGUCGUGGUGCCAAAACCCGCCAGCGGAAAAAUGGCCAAAAAACGGGUGGGCUAUAGCCUUGGUGGGGGGCGCGGGCGAAGUUCGUCCGCCGGACUCGGAAUGGGGCGAGACUUUGCGAGGGGCCUCGGGGUGCCCGCGGGAAGUCGCGGGCACAGCCGCGUCCAAAAAUAAGCGCCCGAAGGUCA
rnacentral:lncRNA from 1 species